rnacentral:rRNA from 1 species
GGUUAAGCGAUUAAGCGUACACGGUGGAUGCCCUGGCAGUCAGAGGCGAUGAAGGGCGUGCUAAUCUGCGAUAAGCGCCGGUAAGGUGAUAUGAACCGUUAUAACCGGCGAUACCCGAAUGGGGAAACCCAGUGUGACUCGUCACACUAUCAUUAACUGAAUCCAUAGGUUAAUGAGGCGAACCGGGGGAACUGAAACAUCUAAGUACCCCGAGGAAAAGAAAUCAACCGAGAUUCCCCCAGUAGCGGCGAGCGAACGGGGAGGAGCCCAGAGCCUGAAUCAGCAUGUGUGUUAGUGGAAGCGUCUGGAAAGGCGCGCGAUACAGGGUGACAGCCCCGUACACAAAAGCGCAUGUGCUGUGAGCUCGAUGAGUAGGGCGGGACACGUAG